ACUCUUCAGUUUAAUUUACUUCAACCAGAACAAUCUAAAUUUCUUGGUCAUGUUCUAGACUUAAAUAAGUGUUACUUUGUUUAAAAAUAAUUUGCCAAGGUUGAGAGAUUUGCUAUAUCUAUAAAAAUUGUGACAAAAAUCCAUCAAUUCAUAGUUUUUUUUAUUACAAACAGCAACUUAUAUGAAAUAUGAUAGUGGGUUUUUUUUUUUGGCUAUUGUAAUUAACUGGGCUAUUGUGAAUUUUGAGGACUUUGGUACUUCUUUGAAUAUGCAUUAUCUACUGUAUUACUAUUUUAUUCUGAAAAUCAUAAUGUACCCACACUGUGGUUCAUGGCUAAGUUAAAAAGGAAAUGGAUCUCGGUUUUUUUUUUUUUUGUGAGGAACCUUUGUAUAUUCUACCUCUCAUUGACUGACACAUUGUGUCACUGAUUAUAAGCUAUAUAUUUUUGAUUUUUAAAAUUUUUUUAUUUUUGUUUUUCCUUGCAUGUGCAAUAUAGCAUUUGAGUUUUACUUUUUCUUUCCUCUUUGUAUUUGAACAGUAUUGAGAAGAUUUUUUCUUUAACUUUUUUAUUUUGCAGUAAUAUAAGUUUAAAAGACAUUUGUUCUAAUAUUAAUGCAUACUCAAAAGCUUUACACUAUAAAAAUGAUUUAAAAAUUAUGGGACUUUGCUUCAUGAUUCUGUCUGAUUCCAGAAAAAGAGAAUAUACAAAAGAGCCAUUGUACGGUGCUAAAUUAAAUCAUUUUAAUUGUGCCCUGAUUCAUGGACUUGUUAAAGGUUUGCUCUUCCUUUAGUUAGAGUUUUUAGACAUAAGACUUUUACAUUUUGUAUUAUAUGCACAAGUUAUUUUUCUCUUUUUUUCAGAUUUUUUCAUGUUUUUGAUUUUCUUUAGCAAAUUGAUUCAUAUACCUCAAAACUCACCCAUGCAUCCUUGAGUGAUCCCUGGGUUUGUUAUUAUUCACUCUAGGGGGACCAAGUUAUUGUUUCAACUUUGAUUUAAAUUUGAGCAAUUUUAGGAUAAGGAACUUGCUACCUUCCAGGAUCCAGAAUGCGCCAGGAAGAUAGAUGCCUGCAGAGACCACAUGCUGCACCAGAAGAUCCAGAGUGAACUUCGAAUCCGCGGCUGCCUCUCUCUCUGUUUUCCUGAAUAUUGGUGGGCAGAGCCCCCAGAACUUUUCAGGACUGGUGAGAUAUUCCCUCGUCUGAUUUUCAUGCCCGAGGGCUGUCUCUCACCAGUGUCAAGAAACUGAACUACGGAAGUUGGUUUUCUCACCUUGGGAAUCUGGGAUAGACACUUCUGUUAAUUAGAGCCCCCGAGAAGAGAAAGAGUCACGGGCUGAGACAGGUACGAAGGUUAAGAUGACACAGUAGGAGAAGGCAGAAAGAGUAUUCCGCAGUGAUUUAUAAGUCUUCACUGACUGAAAUACAAUGGCUCACUGACUCAUGGGAAAAGGGUGCCCCGCAUAUCGGAUUCCCAGCUCCGGACUCCUUUGGGCUGGAUUCAGUUCUUGGGGCCGUGCGCUAAAGGAGGGAAGUUAGAUUCUCAGUCUUUCUGACUCAGUAUGCCUCUAAUCCACAGUUGAAUUCCGAGAACAUUUUCUAAAAACGAUCUUUAGGCAAGGCUCAUGUCUAUAAUUGAGCCUAAAAGGGUCGCCUCCCUUCCAAAAAUGGUACUCAGAAUAAUUUAGAUAAAGCACAGGACAGCAACUUAUUGGCUCCCUUAGAGAAGAAGAGGUGAAGACACACACGACUCAGUAGCAAACGUUGACAAAUACUUGGAUCAUGAUAUGAUAAACCAUAAGUCUGAUUGUACUUACUGGGAGCUUGACACUUAAACCAUUAAAGCAGGAGACACUUUAUAGGUCUGCUGAAUAGACAUCACUUUAAUCUCAGUUCUUUACUGUCAGUAGUCACAAGGCCAUUAUCACGUGUCAAACUCAGCUAUGCCUCACACGCAUAGUCCUCCUCUACUCUCCAACAGCGUUUCCGUGGUCACCUGCUAUUACAUAGUCAACAUGCUGAUGAGGAAGCUCCCCACCUUAGUAGGUUAGGAGCAAGACGAGGACUAGCCAUCACAGCAUGGAGGGCUCCUUGAUAAAAACUGCUUGAGGCCCACCCUAGCUGAAACACCCUGAAGUCAUCCCCUUUACUUGAAGACUCCAGUGUUAAUAAUCACCUGAAGCUUUUUUGACCCUAUUUUUCAUUUUGGCAAGUUAAGUCAAGAGGCACUUUAAAAUGCUAAUAAUGUGUUUCUCCAGCUUUAAGUAUGUAUUCAUGUAACUUCAAAACUCCAAGCAUGGCUAGGGUCAACUGUUAUUACUCUUAUAGAAUUGGUCUACCCUCUUAGGUGUUUGGGAGCUGUCCAUCAGAGUCUUUGAUUUGUAUUUUUUAUCACUCCCACAAUUCCACUUAAAUUAGCACCAAAAAGGCUCCUUAACACAGCUUCACGAACAACUUCUAGAUAUAUUGUUGAAAGAUAUUUCCUUUCUUCUCUGCAGAGAAUCUGUACCCUGACUCCUAUCUGAGUUAGGAUGAAUGAUUUGGUGAGGCUACUGAUAGGUAGAUAUGCUCCUCUGGAUUUUUUUUAGCUUCCAAGAUGCUCUUCUAUGCAAAUGUACAGAAGGUUUAAUAAGCCUUCAGGAGGAAAAAAACUAUGGGGGAGAGGGGGAGGCAGCACUAUAAUCACUGAAGUUCCUGUUCACAUUCCUGUCUGAAGCAAAUUACUUGUCCUCCUUUUCAUAUAGAAUAUAUGAGGAAAACCUUGAAGAAAUGUGCAAGUUAGAUUAUUUAACUUGGUUGUACAUUGUGCAGUGGAUUGGAACUCUCCCCAGACUUCUUUUCAAUCAUCUCUAGCAUUAGUGGUUGUAGUUUAGUGAAAUGUUUGACAAUAUUAUCUUGUGGAACCAAGUGUUGUCUAGAUGUCAAAACAUAUGUGACAGCCUUGAGUCAAGUAGUCUACCUUUUCCCCCUCUAGUAAUGCCAAAUGUAUAACUUACUAUUCAGUCUCCAUCAUCUCUUCAGAUCACCAUUUCAUAAUCCAUUUCACACCUGGGCAAAUUUAAGUACCCAUAAGACAGGAUGUGGUUUUUAUGUGAAUAGCCAUCAAUGGCUGCCUUUGAUCACGCAUUUUCUUUCAGUCCAGUUAAAUACAGACAUUUUCAGAAAUGGCUAUUGAAAAAUAAAUUGAGAAAAGAAACCAACUUUGUGAAAAAAUAUUAAAGUCCUGAAUAAGGCAGGCUCAGGCUUUUUUCAGCCCUGUUUUUAGUUUAGUACAACAUGAGAAGGCUCGCCACCUACAAAAUAAAAUGCAAAAACAAUAAAAAAGGAAAUGCAUAUGAUACUUUAAGCUGACUAAAUGAUAUUAGUUAAUGUAAUGCUUCAAUCUCCAUCUAUAAAAUGAGAUUAUAAUUCAAAUAAAUUACUAUAGUUGACUAAAUUAGAGAAUGCAUUUUUUUUUUGCAAUAUUUAAUCCCACAACAAAGAAUGAACACUGUAAAUAUCAACUAUAACCGCCAUAUAGUGGGAUGUAAACCCUAGAAUUUGGACACAAGAUGAGAAAGUGAUAUUGUCUUAAAUUCUUAAAGUAUUACCAUGUAAGUUCAUAAGAAGAGCUGAAAGGUCCUUGACUAUAAGGCCAGUAUUUAAUUUAACUUUGUAUAAUCUGAUGCACUUAUCUAUAUUGUAAAAGUUAAAAUUAAAUCUUAAUAAUAAAAA